GACGAACGCUGGCGGCGUGCUUAACACAUGCAAGUCGAACGGAAAGGCCCUGCUUUUGUGGGGUGCUCGAGUGGCGAACGGGUGAGUAACACGUGAGUAACCUGCCCUUGACUUUGGGAUAACUUCAGGAAACUGGUGCUAAUACCGGAUAGGAGCUCCUGCUGCAUGGUGGGGGUUGGAAAGUUUCGGCGGAUGGGGAUGGACUCGCAGCUUAUCAGCUUGUUGGUGGGGUAGUGGCUUACCAAGGCUUUGACGGGUAGCCGGCCUGAGAGGGUGACCGGCCACAUUGAGACUGAGAUACGGCCCAGACUCCUACGGGAGGCAGCAGUGGAGAAUAUUGCACAAUGGGCGUAAGCCUGAUGCAGCAACGCCGCGUGCGGGAUGACGGCCUUCGGGUUGUAAACCGCUUUCGCCUGUGACGAAGCGUGAGUGACGGUAAUGGGUAAAGAAGCACCGGCUAACUACGUG
rnacentral:rRNA from 1 species